rnacentral:rRNA from 1 species
UACGUAGGGGGCAAGCGUUGUCCGGAAUCAUUGGGCGGAAAGGGCGUGUAGGCGGUCCGGUAAGUCCGCUGUGAAAGUCGGGGGCUCAACCCUCGAAUGCCGGUGGAUACUGUCGGGCUAGAGUGCGGAAGAGGCGAGUGGAAUUCCUAGUGUAGCGGUGAAAUGCGCAGAUAUCAGGAGGAACACCUAUUGCGAAGGCAGCUCGCUGGGACGUAACUGACGCUGAGACGCGAAAGCGUGGGGAGCAAACAGG